rnacentral:tRNA from 1 species
GGAGUGUAGCUCAGUGGCACAGUGCUUGCCUACCAAGCGAGAGGCUCUAGGUUCAAUCUCAGCGCCA